GCGUCAAGCGCUGGGUGGGCGAGCAGAGAACUAUUUUGAACCGUUCGAUCAGGGAACGAGUCCCGCCUCGCUCUCGACCGUCGAUUGUCACAGAGUGUGAUAGCAUCCCGCCCCGACGAAAGCCCUAGCCGCCACACCCCGCUCUCCCAGACUCCCACGCUCGCAACCCCGUGCCCUCUCGCUCCCGUCCCUUCGUCUCUUCUCUGCCGCCGCCGCCUCCCUCGCACCGGUGGUCCAUGGUCCCAACUCGGUCGGCGAGCUGCUGCACCGCGCGGGAGCUGGUGAGUUCCGUGUUGAGGUAAUCUCGCUUAGAUUGAAGCCUGCCGGGGUUGCUCGUCGCCUAGCAUCUCCUCCGUCUAGAUUUGCCACAAACAGCCUCAUCUAGGGUCGAGCCAAUGGCACCAGUCCUUGACGAAGAUGCAUCGGGAGUUGACUACAGCUUAGUGUGGAGUGGCAUGCACCUAGGUGAUCUUAUACUGCUUAUAGACACCAAAGAAGCAAAAUCUGCUUUGGUGGAACUUAUAAACAUGACCAAUCAUGAUGCCGGUAUGGGAAACUAAACAAUUCAUUGAUGAAGUGAAGUAUCAAUCCUCAUCCGCUUUGUAUAGCCAAUAAUUAAAGAUUGAGAUGUUCAAAGAACUUUCAAAGUUGCCUAAUAUCUAUGACAGAUUUGCAAGAUUAUUGAUUAAGAACAUAUGUGAAUUGGACGGUGUUAAGAGGGGCCUGCCUUGCCAGAUUUUUGGUGGCCUCGCUACUUAUGUUGCGAAGAAUCCUGAAACUGGUGAAACUGUUCUUGAGAGUGGAGCGCUUGGUCUGAGUGACAAAGUUGUUUGUUUUAUCGAUGGGUUCGACAAGAUGUCUGAUAAUAGUUGAAGCAUGCUACAUAAGGUCUGUUCUCUCAUUCAAUCGUUCCCCUCCAAAUUUGAAUCCGAUAAUAUGAUUACUCAAACAUCUUUAGUGAAUAUACGAUGAUGCAGCAGUAGACUAUAUCCAUUGCAAAAGGCUGGAAUAAUUGUAUCUUUAAAUGCUAGAACAUCUGUCUUAGCACUUGCAAAUCCAUCUGAAUCACGUUACAAUAGGCUUUCUGUGAUUGACAAUGUCCACCUUCCCCUGAUACUGAUGUCAAGGUAAGUGCAUGCCUCAUGUGUGUAAAGUGGACAAACAAUUAUAAGUAUUCUAACUGCAGUCACAUUUUUCUAUUAUGCAGGCUUGGCCUGAUUUAGGCAGAUGAGCAAACAGAUAGAUACUUGGCUAAUCAUAUUGCUUCAUUGCAUUUUGAUAAUCCAGAACUAAAAUACCCAUCUCAGAUUUUGUACCUGAAACUUUAACCAAACUGCUUUGUUUGAAUAAAGUAUAUAUAUAACGGAUUCCUAGAUGAGUCAAUUUCGUAUUAGUUGUAUAUUCAUGAUGUUAUGAAGGUAGUGGAGCACCACAUAUGAUGUUGGACAUGCCCAUGCUGAUUUCACACAUAAGCUAUACAAGGAAGUACACUCAGCCACAGUUAGGACAUGCCCAUGCUGAUUUCAUAGAUAAGCUAUGCAAGGAAGUACACUCAGGCACAGUUAUCUGACGAAGCUUUUAUUGCUGUACUUUAGAGUUAAUAUUUCGGGCAACCGAGUGGAAACCGUCAGAUUUUACAUCCUCAGUUGGUCAUGUUUUUUUUGCUUAGUUGCUUCUAGAGCGGUCAUAUUUCUUUUGCCACACCAUCAACUGGAUCUAAAGACUACUUUUGUGUUUGCUACCCUUGUGAUGCCCCCCUCGAUAAAUUUCAGCAUUGAGAUUAGCUAUCUUUGAAGUCCCUUUUGUCGUUUCAGUGCAGCAUGAGCAUAGUGAGAGAAGAUUUUUUUUGUUUGCCCGUCGGCAUACAGCUGCUUAGUGAUCAUUAGCAUCCGAACCUGGUUCUUUUCGGGCAUAGCUUUCCUUUAUUUAUCAAAGCAUUUUACAUACUAAAACUGAUCUUUUUAUUAUCUAUUGUGGUGUUCAUUGUUAAGUAGCUUGCCAGUUUUGCAUAAGUUUCCUUUGUCUUGACAAAUGGUUGUUUCACACUACCUUAAACUAAAUUUCUUUCAUAGCUUCAGUUAAUAUAUCUCUGGUGUUGCCUCUGUUUUUUUGUUUUCUGAUAGAUAUGCAGAUGCUUUAUUGCUAGCCUGAAUUUAAGUUCAGAGGAUCUUCUCUUUGGGGGUUUCCAAUCUGCUUGCUAGGCUAGAAGCCUGUUUAUUCUACUUAGAUAGCUCUCCAAGUAUCAAGCUCUGCUUGGGAUUUAUUGUUGCGGCAGUAUGAAAUAGUUUUACAAGUUGCCGUAAGAAAUGAAGAUGGCUCUUCCAGUUACACUGGAGAUUAGUACUGAUUUUGUCUUGCAAAGUUUUGUAUCCAAAUUCAUGAAAAGUUUUGUUGUUUUUAUAUACGAGAGAGCUAUCUGACAUGUUCAUUGUUUUGCCAAAAGUUCAAAACUUCGAUUGCUU